rnacentral:rRNA from 1 species
CGAGAACGGGUUUAGUUUACUAAACUGUCAGCUAAGUGGCGCACGGGUGAGUAAUGUAUAGUUAACCUGCCCUCUAGAAAGGAAUAACAGUUGGAAACGACUGCUAAUGCCCUAUAUGCCCAUAAUACAUAAGUAUGCUGGGGAAACGCUUUAGUGCUAGAGGAUGGGACUGUAUGGUAUCAGAUAGUUGGUGAGGUAAUGGCUCACCAAGUCAAUGACGCCUAACUGGUUUGAGAGGAUGAUCAGUCACACUGGAACUGAGACACGGUCCAGACUCCUACGGGAGGCAGCAGUGGGGAAUAUUGCACAAUGGAGGAAACUCUGAUGCAGCAACGCCGCGUGGAGGAUGACACUUUUCGGAGCGUAAACUCCUUUUAUAUAGGAAGAUAAUGACGGUACUAUAUGAAUAAGCACCGGCUAACUCCGUGCCAGCAGCCGCGGUAAUACGGAGGGUGCAAGCGUUACUCGGAAUCACUGGGCGUAAAGAGCGUGUAGGCGGGUUAUUAAGUCAGAAGUGAAAUCCUAUGGCUCAACCAUAGAACUGCUUUUGAAACUGGUAACCUAGAGUAUGGGAGAGGUAGAUGGAAUUUCUGGUGUAGGGGUAAAAUCCGUAGAGAUCAGAAGGAAUACCGAUUGCGAAGG